ensembl:lncRNA SLC24A3-AS1 SLC24A3 antisense RNA 1
ACACACACUGCACCCCAAACACUCAAGUCCCUGUGUAAAUCUUCACUCCUCCAAGCACAGAGGGAAGCCUGCUCCGUAGGCUCUGUUAAGUGUACUGCUGCCGCUGACAUCAUCAUAAAUAGGAAGGGAGAGAGUCCAGGAACCACAGGGCUCACUUCCUAGCCUCUCUAUUUAAGAUUUUCGAGGGCAGAUGGCACUAUAUUUAACCAGCACAAGUAGUAUUCAUUGUGCCCAGGGCCUCUUAAGGAAAACUGAACAAAGUUUUAGAAUGAACCUGCCCUCACCUCACUCCUGCUCAACCAUUUCACCCAACAACAAGUUAGAGGCAGAGAAGAUGAAUAUUAUUAAAAUGAUGCUUCUAAAUCAGGACCUUAUGGGUGCUUUGGCUCUCAACUUUUUUCAUAAAAUAUCUGUCCAGUCCAGACCGAGGAGCCAGCUUCGACAGCAUUCUGGCAUGAUCAUCUUCCUUGUGGAAUUUGGUUCUGAAUCAAGGGCCUCAGAAACCAAGCCCGGUUCUUUUGGUCUGCAGGAGAGACCCCUCCCUCCUGCCAAGUCUACCUGUUCUGGGAGGAAGCUCCACCCACCCACUGCACCACCAGCAAAGAUGCUGCCUGAACUAAAGGCCAAAGUCCCACAUCCUGUAGGCCAUAAUGAUUGGUUCUGAGAGGUGCCUGUAACUGAGCCAGGCCAAUCAAAGCAGAGCUCCCAGAAAGAGACUCACCCACUCUGUCCCAGUGACCUUGAACCUGGAAGUAGGAGAGCCUGGAGGCUGAGAGUCCGCAGAUGGCACAUAAAGGGUCUUGCUUUGUCACUCAGGCUGGAGUGUAGUGGUGGAAAUUAGCUAGCUAGAACUACAGACGUGCACCACCACAUGUGAAGCCUCAUGACUUAUAUGUCAGAUUAAGCCUUUUGUUAAGAAGAUAUAAGCAUUGUCAUGAGAAACACCAGACUUUGGUUUAAGUUACUGCUCUGCAACUUUCGGACCUACGUGGCCUUACGAAUGCAUAAACUUCUUCCUGGAAGCUGGCGCUACACAGGAGUCAAGCUGCUCUGAAAAGAGAUAUAAGUGAGACUUCUGAAUUUCCCUCCAGCACCCAGAAAAAGCCUCUCGGCAUUGUAGCCCUACCAGGCACGUCAGCACCUGGUUCACGGUAUCUACUCAUAAGGCACUAAAGGAAUGCUCAUUGAAUUAAGAUGAAUGCAGAAGCUAUUAGGAUGACCCCUUGAUGAAGGGAUAAAGGCCUGGAUUAUGGCUUGACAAUGGAAUGAGAGGAAAGGUCAGAUAGGAGAGAGAUUGAGAAAAAAGAAUUGACAAUGCUUGGUAAUUGUCAAACAAUUGGAUGACAGAAUACGUUUAAAAGGGAGCUAUAUUUCACUGGAAGAUAUUUGAUUAUCUACAUUUCAGCCACUCUGAGUAACGAGUGUAAGAACAUUCAGGUGGAAACCUCCAGUGGUCGUGGGGAAUACUGGAAUCAUGCUCAGGAGAUGAAUGAAGAUCAUAGUCAUCUGAAUCAAGGGAUGCAAACUUGCCCCGUGAAUUUAGAGACGACCGACAACUGCCCUGUACUUUCAGAUUACAGCCACGUGUGGAAAACAUCAGAUGCAAUCCCAGCUGCUUUCAGUACAGUCUUGGGAAAAGAGUAAAGAAUUGCUUCCUCCCACAACCCAAACCUCUAUCGCCCAAACCUCAAUCUAUAUGGGACAUCUCAAAUGCAAUACGAGCAAAACUGACCUAAUCCCACACCUGCCCAUUGACUUAAUGAAUAAAGGAAUGAGGUGAAACACCUAC